CAGCAUAGGUUCUCCUUCACAGGCGGUUCUCUCUAGCCUGCUCUUCGGGAAAUGAUGGCUCCUGGGAGAGCGAACUUAACUGGAUGCGACGUGCAGUUUGCAAGAACACAUUCGUUUUCAGCAAAGUCCAGAACGGCUGGAGCAAGAAGCUGGAAGGAAGCAGACAAGUCAAGACAGGGAGGGAAACCUAACGCUCGAACAGUUGGGCACACACAAAACCAGCUGGAACAGGCUUUCGCCAUGCGUGUAAGGGCCAUGUAUUUGUCUGAGCCUGAAGGGAGCUAGAGCUGAACAGAAAGCAAGGUGAAGAAAACCAAACAAAUAAG
rnacentral:lncRNA from 1 species